AACACCAAAAACGAUGGCCCUGUUUUGAUACGAUAAUCUGGGUAUUCUUUAAACUGCAUUACAGGAUGACUGUUACUAAAGAACAAUGUUGCUGAAUGGUGAGUGAAACUGACCAAUAAAGAACAAUGUUGCUGAAUGGAUGACUGUUACUAAAGAACAAUGUUGCUGAAUGAUUGCAUGAUGAAGAGAAAAUAAACGUAAUUGUAAACCAUCGUAAAAAAGCCUUCGUGCAAAGAUUUUAGGUUCAGUUCCCAUUACAUGAAGUAUGUACUCACAUUUCCUAACUAUUUGCAUGUGAUUUCCUAAUUUGAUGUCACUUUUGCAAGAAAGU